rnacentral:rRNA from 1 species
AGUGAACGCUGGCGGUAGGCCUAACACAUGCAAGUCGAACGGCAGCACAGUAAGAGCUUGCUCUUACGGGUGGCGAGUGGCGGACGAGUGAGGAAUACAUCGGAAUCUACUUUUUCGUGGGGGAUAACGUAGGGAAACUUACGCUAAUACCGCAUACGACCUACGGGUGAAAGCAGGGGAUCUUCGGACCUUGCGCGAUUGAAUGAGCCGAUGUCGGAUUAGCUAGUUGGCGGGGUAAAGGCCCACCAAGGCGACGAUCCGUAGCUGGUCUGAGAGGAUGAUCAGCCACACUGGAACUGAGACACGGUCCAGACUCCUACGGGAGGCAGCAGUGGGGAAUAUUGGACAAUGGGCGCAAGCCUGAUCCAGCCAUACCGCGUGGGUGAAGAAGGCCUUCGGGUUGUAAAGCCCUUUUGUUGAGAAAGAAAAGCAGCAGGUUAAUACCCCGCUGUUCUGACGGUACCCAAAGAAUAAGCACCGGCUAACUUCGUG